AGUAACGCGUAGGUAACCUGCCUGGUAGCGGGGGGUAACUAUUGGAAACGAUAGCUAAUACCGCAUAAGAGUAGAUGUUGCAUGACAUUUGCUUAAAAGGUGCAAUUGCACCACUACCAGAUGGACCUGCGUUGUAUUAGCUAGUUGGUGGGGUAACGGCUCACCAAGGCGACGAUACAUAGCCGACCUGAGAGGGUGAUCGGCCACACUGGGACUGAGACACGGCCCAG
rnacentral:rRNA from 1 species